UACGAAGGGGGCUAGCGUUGUUCGGAAUUACUGGGCGUAAAGGGCGCGUAGGCGGCCUUCUAAGUCGAACGUGAAAUCCCCGGGCUCAACCCGGGAACUGCGUCCGAUACUGGAAGGCUUGAAUCCGGGAGAGGGAUGCGGAAUUCCGAGGUGUAGCGGUGAAAUGCGUAGAUAUCUGGAGGAACACCGGUGGCGAAGGCGGCGAUCCUGGGACCGGUAUUGACGCUGAGGC
rnacentral:rRNA from 1 species